AUGACAAUCGCGGUCCGACUGUCCUUUGACUACCCGUCGGUUCAGGGACGCGAAGGGGCUGGUGGGAGUUGUAGUUUUCCGUUCCUGCCCUCUAGUGGCCUCAAUGCCCAGCGUAUGCAAACAAGGAACGGAGAGAGCUUCCCGAAGAUGGCGGCGGCCCCUUAUUUUGGAUUGCAGGGCUUUCUUUCUGCCACUGUGAGCCGAGUGGCAAGCUUAUUUGUGCCUUUCAGAACUGCUACCAGACAGUUCCACAGUAGUUGCAGUCUGUGGGAAGAACUACCGAGAAAGCCACGUCAUGUUGAACCCAUAUAUGGACGUGUGGAACCUCUGCCCCUAAUAAGACGUAAUCCAACAAAGAUAGUUGCUAUUAUCUGGGUAAUCCUAACUCCAAUUGCCAUCGGUGCUUUCUUCCUUACAAAGGAGUAUAUAGAGAAGAAGCGUCUGAGAGUAAUGAAGCGCCAGCGGGAGAUGAAUUCAUCCAGUCAGAGAAACUAAAGACUCUAAGACAGCAUUGCUAGUGACAGAGGAACUUCCAGAAACAAAUACCUAAGCUUGGCAUCCAACAGUCCUAACUUUGUGCACUGCGACUGUGCAUUUACUGGCUUCAGCCUACAGCAGAUGUCCUAGUGAAUUCGUUCUACUUGGGGUGCAGUGCAGCGACGUACAGCAGUAUAUAGAUUUUUCAUGCUGCCUUUGUAAGAUGCUAAGCAGUAUGAUUGUCUACAACUAAUAAUUUUCACCUCUGAAUACAUAUUAAGGAAGAGAUACCGCUUUCUGGCCAACAACAGAUCCCCUGGACUAGAAAAAGCAAUGACUGUCUUCUUUACAAGACGUACAAAAGAUUAUGAGGAAUCAUAUUGUGUAUUUUCCAUAUCAUAUUUCAUUAUGAUAAAACUGAUAAUAGAUGGGACUGUAAUCUUACCAAAUUGGCAUUAAUAUGGCUCAUUUAAAUACUUGGGAAAUGGAAAUAUUAUGUAACACUUUAGAUUAUUAUAGUGAAAGACUGUGAUGUGCAUAUUUUCUUACUAUCCAUACAUAAAGUUUAUAACCUUCAGAAUGGACUGUGAAAUAAAGUAAAAGGAAUGGAUUUCCCCUUAAUGACU
rnacentral:lncRNA from 1 species